rnacentral:rRNA from 1 species
AUGGCGUCCGUGAAGCUCGCCGCCGCGCUCGCUCUUGUAGCCGUGUGCGCCGCGCUCGCGGCGACGCCGGCCACGGCGUUCCCGCCCGAGAGCUGCGCGACGCAGGGCAGCUACUUCAUCAACUGCCUUCGCCGCGGGUUCGGCGAGAGGUGCUGCGCCAUGGUGGAGAACCCCAGGUGCUUCUGCCAGGUGGAGCGGGAGGCCGAGAUCCGCUGCGUGCCCGGGCGGAGCUGCCCCAGCCGUGGCAUUGCCAAGGUCGUGAAGGUCGCCGAGAUGCACCUCUCCUGCAUGAGGAACCUCAAGUGCAAGCGUGCCUAA